AUAACGCUGGACCGAGUCUACCCAUCUCUCUCGAUCCAACAUGAUUUUUCUGCUAUCGCGCUCAUCCGGGUGUUAGGCAUCCUCAGUCUGUCCAGAACUUUCCCUAUGGAAGGAUGUACUGAAGUGAGGUGCGAUUUAUUGUGCGACGUACUUUGUUCAUUUACGUUUUGUGCCGUGUUCCUUCUUCCUCAGUUAUGGAAUGAUUUAUCCUAGCAAAUUGUUGAGGUAAGUUUCUUGCUGUGUGCUUGUGCAGGUACAUUCAACUAACCCUUGGCGUCUAAAAAGUUACAGGUGUGUGCGCUAUUUAUCAACGACUACCUGCUGGCCUCGUCAACAAUCUUCAAAGGAGCGACGGAAAGAAAACGUUUUCCAGUUUUAAAAUAUUAAGCCCCCGGUGAGGACGUCAUUACUUAACAGAAGCCGGUUCAACACGCGCAGCUCCUGUUCAUGACGUCAUCACUAAACUCAAGCCAGCUGCCCAAGUAGCAGAGCCGAAGUUGUUGAGAGAUUUUGCUGUGUGCCAAAGCGAGAGGCCCUGUCUUCUCUCUCUAGAUUUUGGACGGCAAACCGCCGCCCGUGCAGAGGUGUGUGCGUGUGACGAAAAAUGAUGGAUGAAAUACGGGGGAAGCGGGGUCUGAAGUCUUUCGUUCGUCACACACACACAUGCAUUUACCAGCGGAUAUCGCUGGACCGAGUCUACCCAUCUCUCUCGAUCCAACAUGAUUUUUCUGCUAUCGCGCUCAUCCGGGUGUUAGGCAUCCUCAGUCUGUCCAGAACUUUCCCUAUGGAAGGAUGUACUGAAGUGAGGUGCGAUUUAUUGUGCGACGUACUUUGUUCAUUUACGUUUUGUGCCGUGUUCCUUCUUCCUCAGUUAUGGAAUGAUUUAUCCUAGCAAAUUGUUGAGGUAAGUUUCUUGCUGUGUGCUUGUGCAGGUACAUUCAACUAACCCUUGGCGUCUAAAAAGUUACAGGUGUGUGCGCUAUUUAUCAACGACUACCUGCUGGCGUCGUCAACAAUCUUCAAAGGAGCGACGGAAAGAAAACGUUUUCCAGUUUUAAAAUAUUAAGCCCCCGGUGAGGACGUCAUUACUUAACAGAAGCCGGUUCAACACGCGCAGCUCCUGUUCAUGACGUCAUCACGAAACUGAAACCAGCUGAACACGCGCAGCACGGAUGGUACCCCGAGCGCGGUAGGAGGAAGGAAGAACGAGAGGAGGAAGACCGGUAAAUUUGGAAGGGGGAAAGCGUUCUACCGUCUACACAGCGGGAGUAUGCCAAAACACAUGUGGGAAGGGAGAGGGAUAUUAUUCAAUAAACAGCAUGCGAAUGUGUGCAUAAAGCAAAUGUGAACAGCCUCAUCAUUUCUAUAAGCAAUCCGAAAAAGGGGGUGGAGCAAACACAUUGGUAUGCGUGAGCGGCUGAAGAAACCAGAACGUUUAGAUGUGUGCGUGACGGAUGGUUCGGGCGCCUGUGGCGAAGCUCUCGACAAGCCUGCAAACGAGAGCUUUGUGGAGAGCUUUGUAGGGAGCUCAGAUUACACAGGCCGCCGUCGGUUUUUGCGUC